rnacentral:rRNA from 1 species
GAGUCCGAUUUAGCCAUGCUAGUUGUGCGGGUUUAGACCCGCAGCGGAAAGCUCAGUAACACGUGGCCAAACUACCCUGUGGAUGGGAACAAUCUCGGGAAACUGAGGCUAAUUCCCAAUAACGCUCCGCCCCUGGAACGGGCAGAGCUGGAAACGCUACGGCGCCACAGGAUGUGGCUGCGGUCGAUUAGGUAGACGGUGGGGUAACGGCCCACCGUGCCAAUAAUCGGUACGGGUUGUGAGAGCAAGAGCCCGGAGACGGAAUCUGAGACAAGAUUCCGGGCCCUACGGGGCGCAGCAGGCGCGAAACCUUUACACUGUACGCAAGUGCGAUAAGGGGACUCCGAGUGUGAAGGCAUAGAGCCUUCACUUUUGUACACCGUAAGGUGGUGUACGAAUAAGGGCUGGGCAAGACCGGUGCCAGCCGCCGCGGUAAUACCGGCAGCCCGAGUGAUGGCCGAUAUUAUUGGGCCUAAAGCGUCCGUAGCUGGCCGGACAAGUCCGUUGGGAAAUCUGUUCGCUUAACGAGCAGGCGUCCAGCGGAAACUGUUCGGCUUGGGACCGGAAGACCUGAGGGGUACGUCCGGGGUAGGAGUGAAAUCCUGUAAUCCUGGACGGACCACCGGUGGCGAAAGCGCCUCAGGAGGACGGAUCCGACAGUGAGGGACGAAAGCUAGGGUCUCGAACCGGAUUAGAUACCCGGGUAGUCCUAGCUGUAAACGAUGCCCGCUAGGUGUGGCGCAGGCUACGAGCCUGCGCUGUGCCGUAGGGAAGCCGAGAAGCGGGCCGCCUGGGAAGUACGUCUGCAAGGAUGAAACUUAAAGGAAUUGGCGGGGGAGCACUACAACCGGAG